rnacentral:lncRNA from 1 species
UCAAAACAUAACUUACAUCAAAACAUAACUUAUGAUUAUGAGAAUUGUCUUUGUUGAGUGUUGCAUUGUUCUGUUGGUUUUAAAUUGAUGUGAUAAAGUGGGAUUAGUUUGAAUGAAGAGGGAUUAUGUUGUAUAUGUGUUGGAAGGGCACAAUAGACCAUGAUUGUUCUUUGUUUUCAGGUGUGAAUAGGAUUGUUAUGAGGCGUGGAAUGAAAAUUGUGAUGGCAGGUUCUCCUUGGGAGUUCAGUGGGUGGCUCAAUGAAGGGUGAUCAACUGGGUGGUGGCUCAUCAAUGAAUAAGAAAGGUAGAGAAACCUCUCAAACAAAAAAAUAUAAGAAGUUGACACAUCUAAAAAAAGGAAAAGAUGACAUAACACAUGAUUAGCCAUGUUAGAAGAAAAAAAACUAACAUUGUUCGUUAUGAAGAAUUAAAUCUGACUUUCUAGAACGAGAUAUAUGAAAAUGAUCAAAGUUUAAAAAAAAUAAAAACUAAAAUCACGUAAUAGU